UACAAGGGGUGCUAGCGUUAUUCGGAGUUAUUGGGCGUACAGCGUUCGUAGGUGGUUAUUGAAUUUUGUUAAGAAACGCUAGAAAAUCUUAUUUAGCCUUUUAACUUUCAAAUCUAUAACUAAGGGAUUUUUAGAGGUAAGUGGAAUUUCUAGCUGAGCAGUAAAAUGUUGAGAUCCUAGAACGAACGUCCUUGCGAAGGCAACUUUCCAUAAGAAUCCGACAUUGAGGAACGAAAGCAUGGGGAGUCAACGGGAUUAGUGACCCCGGUAGUCCAUGCUGUCAACGAUGCAUAUUAAAAGAGACGCAGACUUUCUUUACAGCUAACGCGUUAAAUAUGCCGCCUGGGAAGUACGGUCGCAAGAUUGGAACUCAAAGAAAUUGACGGGAACUUUUGCAAGCGGUGGAGCAUGUGGUUUAAUCUGAUAACCCUCGUAAAAUCUUACCAGUUUGACUUAUUUUGAUACUGAGAAACUGUACACUUUUAAUCUCAACUAGUUUUCAUAAGAAAAUCUAGCUUGCGAGAAUUUGUAUUUGUAUUAUUGUUUAGUAUUUUUAAAUAGGACAGGUAUUGCAUGGCUGUUGUAAGCCCGUGUUGUGGAGCGUACGGUUAAUUCCUAUCAACGGGCGAAACCUUCGAGUAGUUAAUUUUGUUUUUCUCUUUGACUUUGUGAAUUGAGGAAACCUAACGAAAACUGAAUACUCGGGAACUGUCUGUUUUUAUGACACACGUAACUAACGGCAGAAAAUUACAAUGAAAACAAACGUUUUGGUUUUUCCAAACAAUUAAAACCCUUUUGGUUCUUUUGGUUUUUUUCAUUUUUUUCUACGGUUCCUAUAGGCGAAAACGGAGAUCAUAACAAGUCGUCAUGGUCCGUAAAAACUGGGCUACACAUUUGCUACAAUGGAGAGUACAAAAAGACGCAAAGGAUUUUCCAACGCUAACCUUAAAAACUCUUCUUAGUCCAGAUCUGCUCCUGUAACUCGGAGCCGUAAAGGCGGAAUCGCUAGUAAUCGUAGAAAAGUAAGCUACGGUGAAUACGUAUUGAAGUUU
rnacentral:rRNA from 1 species